rnacentral:rRNA from 1 species
UACGUAGGUGGCAAGCGUUGUUCGGAAUUAUUGGGCGUAAAGGGCGCGUAGGCGGUUUGUUAAGUCGGUUGUGAAAGCCCGGGGCUCAACCCCCGGAGAGUCGACCGAUACUGGCAGACUAGAGUACAGAAGAGGUAGCUGGAAUUCCUGGUGUAGCGGUGAAAUGCGUAGAUAUCAGGAGGAACACCUGAGGCGAAGGCGGGCUACUGGGCUGAUACUGACGCUGAUGCGCGAAAGCCAGGGGAGCAAACGGG